ensembl:snoRNA SNORA70 Small nucleolar RNA SNORA70
CUGCAGCCAAUUAAGCUGACCAUGCUCCCUUCCUCGUAGAGGCCUGGUGUGCAAGGGCUGCAAGCAACAGCCUCCUUGGCAGUGUAUGCAGCCUGUUCCUUGUACGAGUUGCUCUAAGGGACCUUGGAGAUAGUG